rnacentral:misc_RNA from 1 species
AUGCGGCCACCACUUUCAUGAUUCCUGCUUGCAGCGCAUCACUCCUCUAAACCAAGCUCAAGAUCCUCCAUGUAUCCCAUGUGCCAUGAGUGACAAGGACUAGCUCUCAUCACACACAAAGCUCAAGCUAAUAAUGAGAAUGAUUAGAUUGGCCAUUUGUAAGGUAAGUGUUUAGGGCCUAAGAGUACCUUCUUUUGCCAAAAUUAUGAGCUUUGGUACAUGGGCCUCUCUUGAAUGAGCUGAUUAACUAACAGGGCAGAGAAUUUAUAAGGCCUUAGGAGGAAGAGUGGGUGUGGAACCCUUUUAUGCUGUAUUAGUAAUUUAAUAUGCACAAUUCCCAAAAGUGUAUGAUGAGUUGACCCUAAAAAGCGGUUAGUUGUACCAACAUUUUGAGAUGGUGUCUCCCAUUCAUGAGGGCUAUUUCCACAAUUUGAGGACUUUCUUCUUAUGAGGCUUAUCUUCUCUCUUCCCCUCCCUCUCAUGUAGCAUAAAAAAAAAAGUUAAA